AGCAAAUCUUAGCCAGCAAUGGUGGCUCAAAGCUGAAGCCCCAGCAAAGGGAGACUGCAGCUGAGGACCUCCUCAGUUCAGAGUCAGCCUACCUGGGCUGCUGCACAGCAAGACCAUGUCUCAAGCAAACAAGCAAAGCCUUGUAUCUUGCAGAUUUCUUCUUUUGUCUUCUUUGGAAUGUAGCAAUUUGAUAGACUUAAACUCAGUAAAUAUUGAGAGAAGGAAUGAGCAUGUGCAUCUGGGAGUGCCCUGCCAUCAAAGGAGGCACAGGGUGAGAGUCUGCUGAUAAUGGGACACAUAGAAGAGGUCCUGAAUUCAAUUCCCAGCAACCACAUGGUGGCCCACAACC